CUUUUUCUCUAAUCUUUGAUUUUUUGCUGAAAUAUUGGAUCAUUUGAACAUUUAUUAUACAGUUAGUAUGUUGUAUGGAGUUGGGAAACAGUCUGAGUUUGACCUUAAGAAAAGCAGUUGCGUUCUCGGGGCGGAUUUAAUAGUGCUGUUUUCUUUGUUUUUCUGAGCAGAACUGACUAGUUUAGGUUUAAGUUCAGUUUGUAAUCAUUGUUCUUAGCAUUUAUUUAUUGCUUUUAGAGGUUUUUUUUAACUCGGUUUCCUUCCAGUACUGCGGUUGGUGGUGGUCUCCAGUCACAGGAACAGUUGGGAGUUCAUUCACCUUUGAUAGUUUGGGUUGUUUGGUGACACAUUACUGACACAUUACUGGUCUGUUUCUUGUGUUUGUGGUGUUUUCUGUCCUGCUUUUACAGACAGUAGACUCCCAGUCUCUCUCAGCCUGGUUGGUGGACGCCAGGCCGCAGUAUAUCUAUCAGCUCCCUUCUAUAGCUUUAGUUUUAUUGUUUAAUAAAUUUUUAAUUGGUUUUAAUAAAAGUCCAUUAAGACACACUGACUGUCUUGGUUUCAUCAUUGAAGCCUCUGCAUCUUAAACUGUGACAUAUAUGUGAAAGUCCAAUAAAAAGCACAAUGAGAAAGUUCAGUAGACUGUAGUGCUGAGCUUGAGAGGAAGUCGGGACUUUAGCUAGUUAUUAAACUGUAGCAGCAGCAGCACGUAGUGGAUCAUGGUAAAUGGUGCCACAUGGCAACAGUGGCGGUUUAUCAAACCAUAAUGAUUUUUAAUCCUGGUUAUGAAAUGAAAAGUUUCUUCUUGACACAUUUUAAGAGUUGUGUGCUAGUUAGUUUCACUAAUGCUAAUUAUGAGUGCAGGUUUAAGUCACUGUCACAAAUUUGUUCUUUAGAGGAGAACAAAAGGAUGAAAGUUUAAAAAAAGUUUAGAAACGGCUUGUAGCUACACUUAUGCUAAUUGGUUUAGCGUCUUGACGUUAGCCAGGUUUGAAUCACAAUGUAGCACAAAUUUUAACCAAAUUUCCAGAAAAUCUGCAAAAGACAAUUUGAAUUAAUGCUUGUUAAUAUUAGGAGUUGGGUCGUCAAGGUAAACAACACAACAACAAGCUCAAACGAUGGAAAACAUGUGAGGAAGAUUACAGUCUCCUCAUCGCUGCACACAGAUCUGACGUACGUACGUCAUCAUUUAUUCACUAACACUGUUUACAUUUGCUUUUCAUCCACACAACUACUUUUACAGCUCAGACGAGGAAAAACCUCCAGUUUCUGGUGUUUCUAUGGAAGUUUUUUAAUGGUUAAAUUGAAAAUUGUGAAUAAAAAAGCGGUUGUAUCGAAACGCACUUUCACCACGGCCUCUUUACGCAGUGAUUGGUCGGGUGAGUGGACGGUAGAGAGUGGGCGGGGUUUCAGCUCCUCUCUCAGCUGUCUUUUUUUCAUUCUUCACACAAGUAUUUCUUCUUCUUCUUCAUCCACAUCUGUACGAUUCACCGAGUCUGUUUGUCGCGUUUUGCUUCUCCCGAGACGCCAACUUUUGACUUGAUGCGCAAACUGAAAAUGCAAAUGAAAACAUGUCGAAGGAAACACUUAUUGAUGUUUUUUCCACUUAACUGCUCGUAUUUAUGUCUGAUUGUUAAUGACAUGAAUGUUGAAUGAACUACUCUCUGGUCUGACUGACUCAUAAUUACAUAAUGUUACAUUUUCUCUUUUUCACGUGUCUUUGAUGAAUCUUUAUUAACAACAUGACUCUCCUACAAUGACUUGUUGUUACUCAGACAUGAGUAUUAAUAGUGACCGACUCUGGUUGACUGUCAUUCAUUUUGUACCUAUGUCAUCUUGAGCGCCCUCUGCUGGUCACAUGACAGCAGAGCCUGUUCUGAGCUGUGACGACACUGCGGAGAGCUGCAGGGCCGGCGUCACUACCCGGCACCCCCCCUCCUCCCCUCCCACCCCAGCACGACACAGAACAGCACCGGCAGCGGAUCGCCAUGGCGACCAGCCCAGAUUGCCGGUCACCACAGUGUGAGCGAAUUUGCAAUCAUGCACUGCAGAUCAAGCAGGAACCAGCGGAAAGAUUAAAAGGCGUUGAUGAAGUGGAGCAAAAACAAGGUCACCGCAAACCGGCUGCAUUUGACUGCUGCUGCUGCUGCUGCUGCAGGAAGCUGAGGGAGAGCUGCAGCACAGACACAACACAGGACAUGACGGGAAGGACAGGAAAGGACAGAUAGAGGAGUUAGAUUUAUGAGACGUGAUCAUGAAGAAGCCUCAGGUCGCUGCUCUUUUCUCUAGUUGUUGAUUCACACUGAUUUCCUCCAUACAGAAACCAGCACUUCAUUCAUUUUGUUGAUCUCUACUUUUAUUUGAUUCUCUGUGUGUGUGCAUAAUAUACAUAUUUAUUUGGUUAUGUAUGUAUAUCAAACAUCUGGGGCAUAAAAUAAAAAAAAAGUGUCUUCUGUUU